rnacentral:misc_RNA from 1 species
UCCUUAAACCAAAGCCUAUCCGACACAAAACUCGAUUCUCAAGAAGAAAUUUCUAGAAGGAAAUAACCGAAGAAAACAAAUCUCAAAUUGAUUAGCAACGCAGAAAUAACAAAUCAUUACAAGAAAAGUCCUCGUCGAAGACAGACGCAAUUAGUUUUUUUUUUUUUUUUUCAAAAAAAAUGUCAAUCAUAAAGACUCCACCCGUUUCCGCCCUCAUCAAUGCGGGCGUAAUUACCUCCAGUUUUCCGUGGGAGGACAUAAAAAAUAUGUCACAAGAGGAAUUCAAGAUCUAUUUUGAAAAUCAGUGGAAGACCCUGAAAUGUGGUCGGGGUGAGACCGUAAGAGAAAAACAUAAAAUGGGGCUAAUAUGCCUAAACUGCUGGAUUACUCGAACUUUUACGAGCUCAAGGAAACCCAUCUUACCUUCGCGGGAGAGGGCAAAGCUUGUCGCGAAUGUCGGAAGAAUUUACUCGCAACAAACUCCACCGAAGACUGCAACGACUGUGCAGAGGUCAAGUCCGCCUUAAAGAUUAUAGCGGAACAAAUUUUUGAAACUUAAUUUUUUUUUACAUAUGUAACCUCUUAUUUCACCAUUCGUUCUUUUUUUUUUAUCUUGUUUUAAUAAAGAAAAUUAAACUUUGUUUUUCGUUUUUCUCUUAAUUAAGAAUACUUCUUCAUUAUUCAUAUCUGAAUUAACCCCCGCACAUCAUAGACGUACAAAAAUCUUUAAAAACUUGAUCGGCCGUAGCUUCUGCAUUGAUAACUAAAACAGGAGCCGAUAAAGAAGAAAAGGUUUGUUUCACUAGCCAAUCUUCAUGAACCUCAUGGAUAGUUCUGAGU